rnacentral:rRNA from 1 species
AUUGAACGCUGGCGGCAGGCCUAACACAUGCAAGUCGAGCGGAUGAAGGGAGCUUGCUCCUGGAUUCAGCGGCGGACGGGUGAGUAAUGCCUAUGAAUCUGCCUGGCAGGGGGGGAUAACGUCCGGAAACGGGCGCUAAUACCGCAUACGUCCUGAUGGAGAAAGUGGGGGAUCUUCGGACCUCACGCUAUCAGAUGAGCCUAGGUCGGAGUAGCUAGCUGGUGGGGUAAAGGCCUACCAAGGCGACGAUCCGUAACUGGUCUGAGAGGAUGAUCAGUCACACUGGAACUGAGACACGGACCAGACUCCUACGGGAGGCAGCAGUGGGGAAUAUUGGACAAUGGGCGAAAGCCUUAUACAGCCAUGCCGCGUGUGUGAAGAAGGUCUUCGGAUUGUAAAGCACUUUAAGUUGGGAGGAAGGGCAGUAAGUUAAUACCUUGCUGUUUUGACGUUACCAACAGAAUAAGCACCGGCUAACUACGUG